CGGGUUACGCCCCCAAUUCAUGACGUCACCUUCCUGAAAGACUUGUUCGAUUAAAAAUAAAAAACAAAACAAAAACAAAGCGAUUCACAGAAGUCAUUUGACAUCCAACACAUUGUGACUUGCAGUACUGAAUAUUUGGGUUCGUUUAAAAGAUACUAUUUAGGGUCGACGUCACCUCGACCACGCACGCCCACGAUGACGUGUUUCGUUGGCUAUUUGAAUCACCUGCCGGUGGCCGGCCACUGACUUUACUUCUGUGGAAAGUUGCUAAGUUUGUUUGUUUUUUGAAGUAACACGCUUUAGAGAUCGACAAAAUCCUCCGCAAUGUCUGAGGCGAAUGAUGCAAGUGCAACUGCAAUGAAAACGGAGGAGAUUAAUGAGAGAAUACGGAUUACGAGUGAGAAAAUAACCGUGUGCGAUCAAAUCCUGGAGGACUUGAAAGCUCUCCAUCAUGUUCUGACGCAAUCUCACCAGGAUGCGACCUCGCCGCCACAAAAAUGACAUGUUGAAACAAUAAAACUACGACACUGUUCUGAGACA